GGAAAAGCGGAGGUGGGGGAGAAGCUGGGAAGGACAGCAGAAGUGGUGGUCUCAUUCCAUAGUAGCGUGAAACUUAUGGAAACUAACAUAGGAGCUUAUCUUCCUGAUGCUGGUAUCACCAAGCCAUAAAGAAGAAGCAUACCCAUAAGCAUAAAAAAGCACGUGCAAGAAUAUUUCUGGCAGCAUUAUUUGUAAAAGCCUCAAACUGGAAACAACCCAGAUGACCAUCGACAAUACAAUGGAUAAAUACUUGAUAAACCUUCUUCUCAGUCAUGCUCUGGAAAAAAUUGCGGGACAUGGAGAAUCACAGACCCAGGCUGAUCUCACUCACCCUUGUUUUCCUCUCAAAUGCCAGUUUUCCCAGACGAGUCUGCAGCUUCCAGUCUUCUGCCAAGGCUCUAAAGGAAGCAUGAUGCUAGCACCUGCUCAGCUUCUGGGGAGGCCUCAGGAAACCUACAAUGAUGGAAGGUGAAGAGGGAGCUGGCACUUCACAAGGGCUGAGCAGGAGGAAGAGAGAGAGUGGGGAAGUGCCACACACUUUUAAACAACCAGAUCUCCUGAGAACACGCUCACUGUUGUGAGGACAGUGCCAAGGGGGAAAUCCACCCGCCUCACCCAUGAUCCAAUCACCUCCCACCAGGCCUCACCUCCGACAUUGGACAUUACAAUUUGACAUGAGAUUUGGGCGGGGACACAGAAAACCGUAUUAAUAUCUGUGAUUAACAUCCUGUUCUCACAAUUCCUAAAAAUUGAAGAGUGUGCUCUCAUGAACAAGGAUGAACUGUCGCCAAUAUACCAUUGGCUCUCUUGUUGACUGUACCUAAAAUGGGAUCUUCACCACUCUCUUCUCCUACUUUGUUUUUCUGCAAAGUGUUUAUCACUCCUUCCCAUGCUGUUAUAAAUUUAAUU